AGCGAACGCUGGCGGCAGGCCUAACACAUGCAAGUCGAACGAACUCUUCGGAGUUAGUGGCGGACGGGUGAGUAACACGUGGGAACGUGCCUUUAGGUUCGGAAUAACUCAGGGAAACUUGUGCUAAUACCGAAUGUGCCCUUCGGGGAAAGAUUAUCGCCUUUAGAGCGGCCCGCGUCUGAUUAGCUAGUUGGUGAGGUAAAGGCUCACCAAGGCGACGAUCAGUAGCUGGUCUGAGAGGAUGAUCAGCCACAUUGGGACUGAGACACGGCCCAAACUCCUACGGGAGGCAGCAGUGGGGAAUCUUGCGCAAUGGGCGAAAGCCUGACGCAGCCAUGCCGCGUGAAUGAUGAAGGUCUUAGGAUUGUAAAAUUCUUUCACCGGGGACGAUAAUGACGGUACCCGGAGAAG
rnacentral:rRNA from 1 species